rnacentral:rRNA from 1 species
CCUACGGGAGGCAGCAGUGGGGAAUAUUGCGCAAUGGGCGAAAGCCUGACGCAGCGACGCCGCGUGAGGGAUGAAGGUCUUCGGAUCGUAAACCUCUGUCAGCAGGGAAGAACGGUCACUGUGCUAAUCAGCAGUGAAUUGACGGUCCCUGCAAAGGAAGCACCGGCUAACUCCGUGCCAGCAGCCGCGGUAAUACGGAGGGUGCGAGCGUUAAUCGGAAUUACUGGGCGUAAAGCGCUCGUAGGCGGUAUGCCAAGUCAAGGGUGAAAUCCCCGCGCUCAACGUGGGAACUGCCUUUGAAACUGGCAAACUAGAGUGUGGGAGAGGAUGGUGGAAUUCCAGGUGUAGGGGUGAAAUGCGUAGAUAUCAGGAGGAACAUCAGUGGCGAAGGCGACUAUCUGGCACAUAACUGACGCUGAGGAGCGAAAGCGUGGGGAGCAAACAGGAUUAGAUACCCUUGUAGUC